GAGUUUGAUCUUGGCUCAGGAUGAACGCUGGCGGCGUGCUUAACACAUGCAAGUCGAACGAAGCGCUUAAACAGAUUUCUUCGGAUUGAAGUUUUUGCGACUGAGUGGCGGACGGGUGAGUAACGCGUGGGUAACCUGCCUCAUACAGGGGGAUAACAGUUAGAAAUGACUGCUAAUACCGCAUAAGCGCACGGUGCUGCAUGGCACAGUGUGAAAACUCCGGUGGUAUGAGAUGGACCCCGCGUCUGAUUAGCUAGUUGGUGGGUAACGGCCUACCAAGGCGACGAUCAGUAGCCGGCCUGAGAGGGUGAACGGCCACAUUGGGACUGAGACACGGCCCAAACUCCUACGGGAGGCAGCAGUGGGGAAUAUUGCACAAUGGGGGAAACCCUGAUGCAGCGACGCCGCGUGAGCGAAG
rnacentral:rRNA from 1 species